rnacentral:lncRNA from 1 species
GCCUCAGCCUGCGCCUGAGCUAUGGUCAGUGCAGCAGUACAUUUCUGUAUAAUCUCUUUUGACAACUGAGAGGGGGGCCAACCCACAAGACUAACCCAAUUACAGCGAAAGAGAGACCUGGCUGCUCCCUGUCGACAAGGUGAACACAAGGGUAUCCCCUUUCGGGGAUGUGGUGCUUCAGGACCAGUGGGCUGCCGGCACGGGAAGUACUUUCCUGCUCCAGCAUCUUGAGAUAUUUUUGCUUUGUGACAAACGGUGGCUGUCACUCCUGGGCUGUGUCAAUUAGGCACAAUCUGCUUGCACCCCCACAGCUG